ACACAACCCUGUCUCCCACACACACACACACACACUUGUGCCAUCAAGUGUUUAUCAUUUGUGUCACCUAAUAGGAGAUCAUUGGCAUUGAAGCCAAAGAAACAACCCUGAAAUAGCUACAAUUCCUCUUCACUACUGUGCAGGACUCACAGUCGCUGAGUUUCAUUUUGGCAUUUUGUAACAGCUUGCAUCACUUUAUUACAUGAUGAAUGUGUCCCUGUCACAAAAACCAGCUCCAAUGCAAACGGUGCUGUCUGCAGGGAGAAAAAACAACAAAAAUUUGCUGUCAAGACAAGUGUUAAGAUUGCACAAACUAUAAAAGGGUGCCACUAUUUUAGUAUUUAUAGGUUUCAAGCACCAGUUUGAGAGAGAGUUUAACAAAAAGGAGGCACUGCAGAAAAAUGGUAAUAUCCUACAGGGUGGACUGUCUCAUCUAUCAUGUCAGAUGGCCUUAAAAUGCAUUAUUGUCAGAGUUUCAGCUAGUCUAGCCCUGCCAUAAAAAAAAAAAAGUUGCCCGCCCCCCAACACACACACACACACACACACACACACACACACACACACACUGUAUAAUAUGCGGUUUCGGUUUGAUUACAGUCUCUAGCAGAACUGAUAAGACUGUGUGGGUGGAAAAAGCACCAUUGAAACAAGGAGGAUCUGACACAUCGAGCAGUGAUCUGUGAAGACAAGUAACUGGAGGGAAUGUGAAAAGAUAAAACAUUUACCUUACCUAAGGUGCCACCGGCAAUUUUUAAAUCCACAACAAAGAUGACAGAAACUAGUUUUGUGUCUGUUAAGUUGUAACACCUUUUGUUAAAGGCCAUGGAUGUAGGAAGCAUUGGAAAUGCAGUCCAAAUGUAGCCAAGGAAAUAUGUCAGUAUUACUUCACCCCUGAGAAAAUGCAACAAGGUCUAUAUGAACUGGUUUCGUGUUGGCCGUAAGGGUAAUGGGUUUGUAUUAUCAGAAAAUUGCUUAUUAAUGUUCCCUUGGAGGCUUUUCAUCAGUAAAGGUGGUUGAGGCCCAAGGUUUCUACACUGAUGCUGUGUCAUAGAUGGAAUACAUAACAGCCUUGCUCUUUUAGCCAAAGAUCUAAAGCAAAGUUGCUAAAAGAUUAGCUUUCACUAUCAUGUGUACCUCCAAGUCUCUUCAUGUGUACUGAACCAUGUCUCUAGGUUAAAUAAUAAAUGAGGUUGUUUACAGA